rnacentral:lncRNA from 1 species
CUCAAGCGCUUGCAAGCACUCCCUGCAAACAGCAGCAAUCUGUGCUUCAUCCAUACAUGUUUCCGUAACCACAUCUGUUAGUGAGCCUCCAGCUAGAUACUCCAUCACCACAAACAGUUCAUCUCCUACGAGGUAACUGUCCAGGAAGUUGACUAUGUUGGGGUUCUUUAGUUCCUUCAUUACCAAGAUCUCAUUAAUAAUCAACUCCUUCUUGGGCUGUUUCUGCAGGUUUAUCUGUUUGAUAGCAACCUCCUGCCCAGUAGCCACGUCAAUAGCUGUGAAAACUGUACCUGAAGCCCCCUGCCCAAUUUUUUCAUAUCUGGUGUAUUUUUUCUUGGGAUCACCUAUGCUCACAAUGGUACGUAGUUUUUCCAUGAUCUCUUCAUCUGACAUUUUGGUCUUCUUUUUCUGCUUAUCACCUGACUUUGUCCCACCAUCAACAGAAGCGUCACCAGCUGGUGCAGGGAUGGGGUCAAUUACAGACCGUGUAUAAAUCGAUUUCGUGUGAUCUGGCCGCGGAGCAAUAAUAGGAGGAGGUGCUUCUUCAUCAUCGUCAUCGUCAUCUGCCACAGCUGUUGAUGGCUCUGAACCUUUGGCAUUGGUCGUUGGUGUUCCUGAAGGGAAGCCAUCUUUUUCUGGAGCAGAAAAGCUCAGAUAUUUCUGUUUUGCUGUGUCUUUGGAGUCGUAGAAUUUCAGCACAUCUAGUACCGCCUGAGGGUUUUUCUUCUGUUCUAACUUGGUGAUGUUUGAGGUCUGUAGCAACCGAGCCCAUUGCUCUGGCAUUCCAGUGAACUCUCCAGUGACAGCAUCAAAGCCAACAUGGAUAGUAUGCUCAAAGUCUGACGGCGGGGAGAUUUCUGGUCGUUCCUUUUCCUUCUUCUUGCUUCCUUUUUCAGUGCUAGAGAAUAUGGAGAUGAUUUUAUUCCUAGGUUUUCUCUCUUCUGGUACGGAGGGCAGAGGUUUCAAGCUGUGGUUGGCAGACAACGGGUCCUUUCCCC